CAGCCGCCACGGGAAUACGUAGGUGGCAAGCGUUGUCCGGAAUUAUUGGGCGUAAAGCGCGCGCAGGCGGAUCAGUUAGCCUGUCUUAAAAGCUCGGGGCUUAACCCCGUGAUGGGAUGGAAACUGCUGAUCUAGAGUAUCGGAGAGGAAAGUGGAAUUCCUAGUGUAGCGGUGAAAUGCGUAGAUAUUAGGAAGAACACCAGUGGCGAAGGCGACUUUCUGGACGAAAACUGACGCUGAGGCGCGAAAGCCAGGGGAGCGAACGGGAUUAGAUACCCGUGUAGUCCCUGUCUCUUAUACA
rnacentral:rRNA from 1 species